GCGCCUCCUCCCGCCUCUCCUAAGCGGUGCUCUCUCAAGUGUCCGGCUCCUUCACAGGAUGUUAAGAAAGAGCAGGAGCCGACCCCAAAGAGAGCCAGCCUACAUGGGCUGUCAGCUAAGGUCAAGCCAAGUCAGGACCAACUUUCACCUCCUCCGAGUACAGCGCCUCCUCCC